rnacentral:rRNA from 1 species
CGCGUAGGCGGCUAAUUAAGUCGGGUGUGAAAGCCCCGGGCUCAACCUGGGAAUUGCAUCCGAUACUGAUUGGCUAGAGUAUGAGAGAGGGAGGUAGAAUUCCACGUGUAGCGGUGAAAUGCGUAGAUAUGUGGAGGAAUACCGGUGGCGAAGGCGGCCUCCUGGCUUACUACUGACGCUGAGGUGCGAAAGCGUGGGGAUCAAACA